ACGAACGCUGGCUCCAGGCCUAACACAUGCAAGUCGAGCGGCCGUAGCAAUACGGCAGCGGCAGACGGGACCGUAACACGUGGGAACGCGCCCUUCGGUUCGGAAUAACUCAGGGAAACUUGGGCUAAUACCGGAUACGCCCUUACGGGGAAAGAUUUAUUGCCGAAGGAACGGCCCGCGUCCGAUUAGCUUGUUGGUGAGGUAACGGCUCACCAAGGCGACAAUCGGUAGCUGGUCUGAGAGGAUGACCAGCCUCACUGGGACUGAGACACGGCCCAGACUCCUACGGGAGGCAGCAGUGGG
rnacentral:rRNA from 1 species